rnacentral:rRNA from 1 species
UACGUAGGGUGCGAGCGUUGUCCGGAAUUAUUGGGCGUAAAGAGCUUGUAGGCGGUUUGUCGCGUCUGCUGUGAAAAUCCGGGGCUCAACCCCGGACUUGCAGUGGGUACGGGCAGACUAGAGUGUGGUAGGGGAGACUGGAAUUCCUGGUGUAGCGGUGAAAUGCGCAGAUAUCAGGAGGAACACCGAUGGCGAAGGCAGGUCUCUGGGCCACUACUGACGCUGAGGCGCGAAAGCUAGGGGAGCAAACAGG